UGGCGCUGCCUUUCAGGCAUCCUCUCCCAAACUUUUGACGGGGGCUGGCGCAAGCUGGCCCCCUUUUUCUUGGCCAGC
rnacentral:sRNA from 1 species